GAUGAAGAACGUAGCGAAAUGCGAUAAGUAGUGUGAAUUGCAGCAUUCAGUGAAUCAUCGAAUCUUUGAACGCACAUUGCGCCCUUUGGUAUUCCAAAGGGCAUGCCUGUUCGAGCGUCAUUUGUACCCUCAAGCUUUGCUUGGUGUUGGGCGUCUUGUCUCUAGCUUUGCUGGAGACUCGCCUUAAAGUAAUUGGCAGCCGGCCUACUGGUUUCGGAGCGCAGCACAAGUCGCACUCUCUAUCAGCAAAGGUCUAGCAUCCAUUAAGCCUUUUUUUCAACUUUUGACCUCGGAUCAGGUAGGGAUACCCGCUGAACUUAAGCAUAUCAAUAAGCGGAGGA
rnacentral:misc_RNA from 1 species